GCCAAUUGGAUGAACUAGCAUGCGAGUCAUUGUAGCAAUACAAGGCAGACGGCUCAGUAACGCGUAGUCAACCUAACCUAUGGACGGGAAUAACCUCGGGAAACUGAGAAUAAUGCCCGAUAGAACACUAUACCUGGAAUGGUUUGUGUUCCAAAUGAUUUAUCGCCGUAGGAUGGGACUGCGGCCUAUCAGUUUGUUGGUGAGGUAAUGGCCCACCAAGACUAUUACAGGUACGGGCUCUGAGAGGAGUAGCCCGGAGAUGGGUACUGAGACACGGACCCAGGCCCUAUGGGGCGCAGCAGGCGAGAAAACUUUGCAAUGUGCGAAAGCACGACAAGGUUAAUCCGAGUGGUUUGUGCUAAACGAACCUUUUGUCGGUCCUAGAAACACCGAUGAAUAAAGGGUGGGCAAGUUCUGGUGUCAGCCGCCGCGGUAAAACCAGCACCUCAAGUGGUCAGGAUGAUUAUUGGGCCUAAAGCAUCCGUAGCCGGCUCUGUAAGUUUUCGGUUAAAUCUGUACGCUCAACGUACAGGCUGCCGGGAAUACUGCAGAGCUAGGGAGUGGGAGAGGUAGACGGUACUCGGUAGGAAGGGGUAAAAUCCUUUGAUCUAUUGAUGACCACCUGUGGCGAAGGCGGUCUACCAGAACACGUCCGACGGUGAGGGAUGAAAGCUGGGGGAGCAAACCGGAUUAGAUACCCGGGUAGUCCCAGCUGUAAACUAUGCAAACUCAGUGAUGCAUUGGCUUGUGGCCAAUGCAGUGCUGCAGGGAAGCCGUUAAGUUUGCCGCCUGGGAAGUACGUACGCAAGUAUGAAACUUAAAGGAAUUGGCGGGGGAGCACCACAAGGGGUGAAGCCUGCGGUUCAAUUGGAGUCAACGCCGGA
rnacentral:rRNA from 1 species